UGUAAAGCCCCGUCUCCCCUUUACCCGUUUUAUGUGCUAUCGGUUUGGAUUUCACCCGGUUAUGUGUUGUUUUAUUUUUCUAGCUAGUGAUGUGGCCUGCUCUUUCAAUCCUAAACAUAAAAGCCGUUUCAUUUCCUUUUUAAAACCUGUCGAAACGUUAGGAAACCUUUGGGUGGAAAUGGUUACCCUAAUGAAUUUAGAAAUAAAUUAUAUUAGGAGAAACAUUACUACAUGAAUAAAUGAGCAUCAAAAUUGUUUUAUUACAUGAAUUAUAAGUAGAAAUUUUAGGAUGAGUAACGGAGGGGAAGAAUUGGAGCUGUAGAGAGAGCGCUAAGGUUUUUUUUUUGGGAGAACAAACCAACGGAGAAAUCAGAUAUUCUAGGUUAAUGGUGUUGAAAGGGUACGCCACAUGAAUCUUGACACCAUCACUGGCAGCUACCACAGAUCAUUACUACACAGAAAACCUUAGGCGACGACUCGAAAUGGAGGAUCAAUUUUCAGAAUAACUGUACCCCAAAGAGUUAGACAUGGAAUAAUUCGUACUUCUGGGCAUAGACAGACUCGAUCCACAUGGAUUAAAUUGUAACUAAUGCGUACCAUUUGCAAUUUCAUUAAUAUUUAAACAGAUAGAACAAAUGUUUUAGUGGUUUUUGUUA